rnacentral:lncRNA from 1 species
AUGACUCUUGAUGUAAAAGUAAUAUGUUUCCAUCAAAGUAGGAUCUCCCCAGAUGGAUCUAGCCUCCCUACACUGGAACUCAUAGGGUCCUGGACAACCUCCAAAGCUCUUGACUCCCCUUCAUCUAUCCAUAAGCUUGUAAGACAAAUGAGACUAAAUAGUGUUCUCCUUUUACAGAGAAGGCUGCAGGCACCCAGAGAGGACAGGCUCCAACCCGCCCCAGGAGUGAUGCCUGAGACCAAGGGGAAAGAUGGACAGUGGAUAUUCUGGGCGAGGCAGAGAGCACCACACAGCCCUAGGGUUCCUGUGCUGGUGUGCACUGCAGCUCCAGCUUCGCAGAAUUGCCAAGGAGACCGUGAGCAACCCCACACAGGAUGGUCUCAUCCCGGCUUACACCCCACAGUGCACAUGCAGAGCACAUAUAUGAAGAAUGAAUACACGAAGCCACCAGGAACUCACUCUAUCUGGAUGAGGCCGAAACUUCAGGCUACCUGGCUAAUCAGAGCAUUCCACGGCCUUGAGCUCAGUGAUUGGGCCUGA